UACGUAGGGUGCGAGCGUUGUCCGGAAUUAUUGGGCGUAAAGAGCUCGUAGGCGGUGUGUCACGUCGGCCGUGAAAACCUGCAGCUUAACUGUGGGCGUGCGGUCGAUACGGGCAUCACUGGAGUUCGGCAGGGGAGACUGGAAUUCCUGGUGUAGCGGUGAAAUGCGCAGAUAUCAGGAGGAACACCGGUGGCGAAGGCGGGUCUCUGGGCCGAUACUGACACUCAGGUGCGACAGCGUGGGGAGCAAACAGG
rnacentral:rRNA from 1 species